rnacentral:rRNA from 5 species
UGGGGAAUAUUGGACAAUGGGCGCAAGCCUGAUCCAGCCAUGCCGCGUGAGUGAUGAAGGCCCUAGGGUUGUAAAGCUCUUUCACCGGUGAAGAUAAUGACGGUAACCGGAGAAGAAGCCCCGGCUAACUUCGUGCCAGCAGCCGCGGUAAUACGAAGGGGGCUAGCGUUGUUCGGAUUUACUGGGCGUAAAGCGCACGUAGGCGGACUUUUAAGUCAGGGGUGAAAUCCCGGGGCUCAACCCCGGAACUGCCUUUGAUACUGGAAGUCUUGAGUAUGGUAGAGGUGAGUGGAAUUCCGAGUGUAGAGGUGAAAUUCGUAGAUAUUCGGAGGAACACCAGUGGCGAAGGCGGCUCACUGGACCAUUACUGACGCUGAGGUGCGAAAGCGUGGGGAGCAAACA